GGGACAGGUCGGGCAAUCGCGGUGCCGUACGCGGCAUCGAGGAAGGUCCGGACUCCAUAGAGCAGGAUAGCGGCUAACGGCCGCCCGGCGAGCAGCGGCCAUGGCCGCCGCGGGCCGAGGAACAGGGCCACAGAGACGAGUCUGCGGCGCGGGCAUGCCCAUGGCGUGCACCGACACGGCCACUUCCGUGUCGCGCGACCCGGCAACGGGCCGCGGCGCUGCAGGGUGAAACGCGGCAACCUCUAUCCGGAGCAACAUCAAAUAGGCAUGCGCGGGCCUUGCGCCCAGAGAGCGGCUCGCUCCAGCAUGCGGGUAGAUGGCUAGAGCGCGGCAGCAAUGCCGAGCCCAGAGGAAUGAUUGCCCGCCGGGUUCGCCCGGCGUACAGAAUCCGGCCUACAGACCUGUCCCGUUU
rnacentral:RNase_P_RNA from 1 species